rnacentral:rRNA from 1 species
CCUACGGUAGGCUGCAGUGAGGAAUAUUGGUCAAUGGCCGCAGGGCUGAACCAGCCAAGUCGCGUGAGGGAUGACGGCCCUACGGGUUGUAAACCUCUUUUGUCAGGGAGCAAAGGGCGGCACGCGUCGCGCCUUGCGAGUACCCGAAGAAAAAGCAUCGGCUAACUCCGUGCCAGCAGCCGCGGUAAUACGGAGGAUGCGAGCGUUAUCCGGAUUUAUUGGGUUUAAAGGGUGCGCAGGCGGAAGGUCAAGUCAGCGGUAAAAUUUCGGGGCUCAACCCCGUCGUGCCGUUGAAACUGGCGUUCUUGAGUGGGCGAGAAGUACGCGGAAUGCGUGGUGUAGCGGUGAAAUGCAUAGAUAUCACGCAGAACUCCGAUUGCGAAGGCAGCGUACCGGCGCUCAACUGACGCUCAUGCACGAAAGCGUGGGUAUCGAACAGGAUUAGAUACCCUUGUAGUC